UCGUCCCCAGGCGCCGGCCCUGCCCAGCUCCGCCCCCGGCUCCGCCUAGCCCGUCAUUCAUUCGUCCAUCGCUCAGGUCUAUCUUUUCAUUCAUUCGUUCACACAUCCUCUCGCUAAUUUCCUCACCCCGGUUGACUAAGCCAUCUUCUCACGGCUCGCUCACUUCACCCACUCACUCCUCUGCCCUCCGGUCCAUCCACCCACACUCCCACCACUUGCUCCCCUCCAGCGGCUCUCACUCUGAACUUGAACCCGUGCCUGCCCCGCCCAUAUCCACCUACGGGCCUGACCUAGACUUCACCUGCUGGGGCCUCCGCCCGCCUCACGAGCGCAGCGGGUUUCCUGCAGACCUGCCAGACACAGCUCUGGAGGUCCGAGCUGGGCGGCUCGCACCGGCCGGCACAGGCCGGGUACACGGAAGGACACGGAAAAGGCUGCGCCUCACGCACCCAACCCAGAUCAACUGAGAGACAGGGCGCGACCCGCUUUCUGUCUCCAGGGUCCGCGGGCCCUGUCACGCCUCGGCUGGAAUUAGAGCCCCCCACGCAGGACCCACAGAGGCACCCCACGGCCUGCCGCAGGGGGAGGGGGCUGGGCACCACGUCGCAGCCCUGGGCAGAGGCUAUCCUGUUCUGCCUUUAUUGAGUGACUACUGGAUGUCUCGGAAACUCAGAGUCAAGGCUCUGCGGCUUCUGUGCAGGUCACAUCCACAGGUGCCCAGCCCCCACAGGAGGCAGGACCCUUCCAAGCUGUGUGACUUUGUGCAGCGCCCACACCAUCUCUGAGCGUCCCUUCACCUGUCAAACGCAGAUAAUGGCCAAUCUCUCUGCUGGGCGUCCCUGUGAAGGUGAGCUGCUCUCUGAGGGAACUGUCAACAGAAGAGCUAACCCUUGCAGACAGAGUGCAGUCCCAGAAGAGCCUGAUGGACAGUAACAGGCAUCACCACGACUCCAUUAGCUCAAGCAGCUCUGCAAUCUUGUUCUCCUGCAACCACUGAUGCCAAGAAUUCCCCUCCCGCUUCUCCGUAGAACUAUUCCUAAAACGCCAUGUGCUGACCAGUGUUCUGUCUCCCAGACACAAUGAACUACACUCCCCCAUUGGAACUACCUGUAUU